rnacentral:lncRNA from 1 species
CCUCCCUCCACGGAACUUCCUUCUCGGCCUAGGCACAAAGCGCCCGUCUGCUUUAAGGCCAUUAAUUUUCAAUGAAAGGCGUUUAAUUUAUUUGGUUUUAAUAUAAAUUUGGCGCUAAGAUUUAUAGACAAAACUUUGACGUUGCCAUACGAGACGUCGUACUUGUCUGUAUUGCAAUUUCCCGGCCCCCUGCUGGUCGCAGACCCCCUGGUCCAGAAAUUACUAGAGCUUUUCUGGUUAUUGUGGGCUAAUUUUAAAUGUGGGACACGAAAUCAAAUGUUUCAGAUUGCGUAGAGUGACAGAGACGAGGACAAUACAAAUUGAAUAUGCUCAUGAUAAGGCUAUGGAUGGGAUGGGAUCAUUAGCAUACUAGAUGCACCUUGAAUAAGGCUCAUGGCUAUUUUUAGAGUCUUUUUAAUCAAUGAAGAGACAGACAGUUCGACAGAAAUCAUCCGGGCUUCCUCCCGAAAAAUAGUAUAGAGUUGCGCUACCAUUGGUACGACUCCUGCGGAUAGCCGUUGGCGUGCGAUGGUCUUUUGGUCCUUUCCUUGGAAAGAUGAAACAUAAGUACAUAUCAAUUACAGGGUUUCGGAGGAAAAUCUCCCACGCAAGUAGCUCUGUAUACUCCAAUCCUUGGCUUAAAUUCCCCCCUGAUUGGGUUCGCUUCCUGUAGCCCAAAAAUAGAUGGAAACUCAAUGAAGGAAUCACCACCAACCAGAGAGAGAACAGGAGUGUCCCAUCUUAUAUCAGCCACACUUCUACGCAAUCAAUUGGAAUCCGUUACGUCAUUUAGCCACAUUAUGCCCCGUGCUGGUCGUUCAGCCUGCCGUUUCCUCUGUCUGCCUUUGUAGGCGACUAGCUUGGCCUGGCUUAUUGCAAGCUUUGGGUUAAAUAUAUAAAUAUCCAGUUCGCUUUGCUCGUUGAGGCAGAAAAAGAAAUAAAGCCCAGAACUAAAUGCUAGCCUUGUCGAGUGUGCGCUUGAGUUUGGGGUUGUGUGUGUUGCUCUUCCCCUUUAGAACACCAGGCUCAUCAAGCCACAACGCCCUCAAACAAAACAAGUUGAAUGCUUGGCUGACUGAAUGCUGUUUAUCUACAGCUUCGAUUUUCAGCGGGAAUGGGAAGAAUCUGUGGCACUUGCCAUCACCCACCCACAAAACCCUCCUCCCUUCACAGCUUUGGCAACGUUCCCAGGGAGCUUUCCGUAUCCUCCCUUCUCGCCCACAUCGUUGUGGUUAUAGUUUUGUGGUCUUUUCCAUUUUGCGGUCAACUCCAAUUGGCAUUUAAUUUGUACUUCUUUGUUGUCGUUGGUAGGUUUUUUAUCGUAGCAGCAUCAAUAGCCCUAGUGGCACUCGCCUUCGACGCUUUCCCAUCAAUUUCCUAACAGUAUUCUACAACCUUCCCUCUUGAUCGUGUAAGCCCCCCCUGGAUAAACAUGCGCGAGUUUCUGAGUUUUAGCCUCGAACCGAAAAUUCAAUUUCUGUUUUGGGGCCCUGUUCCGGAUGUAUACAUGUUUUUUUGGCUGUGUGUGUAGGAAAACGCAAACCCGAGUUUAUCCACUCGAACUGUUAAUGGGCAUUUUGUAUUUUAUUUAAUGCGAAAAGUUUCUGUUGAAAAUGUUUUCGGGCUCCGGUC